UCAGACGAUGCGUCAUGCAUAUCAAUAAGCGGAGGAAAAGAAACUAACUAGGAUUCCCUCAGUAACGGCGAGUGAAGCGGGAAGAGCUCAAAUUUGAAAUCUUCAAGGUUCUACCUUGACGAAUUGUAGUUUAAAGAAGUGUUUUCUGUUAGAGUCUCGGUAAAGGUUCUUUGGAAUAGGACAUCAUAGAGGGUGAGAAUCCCGUAUUUGACCAUUAUUUCCAGCUUUGUGAUACACUUUCAAAGAGUCGGAUUGUUUGGGAAUGCAGUCCAAAAUGGGUGGUAAAUUUCAUCUAAAGCUAAAUAUUGGCGAGAGACCGAUAGCGAACAAGUACCGUGAGGGAAAGAUGAAAAGAACUUUGAAAAGAGAGUUAAACAGUACGUGAAAUUGUCAAAAGGGAAGCGUUUGACACCAGUGUUGUUUUCUCGAAAAUCAAUUAAAAAAGGCAGGAUUUUGUGUUGUAUUGACUUUAUCAGCUUUCUGCACUCUUUUCUUGUCUUUUUUUAAUGCACUUUUCGUUUAACAAGUCAACAUCAAUUUCUUUUGUUGUAAAAGGGUCAUUGGAAGGUGGCUUUCUUUUCGGAGAAAGUGUUUAUAGCCUUUGGCCUCUGCAAUCGGAGAGAUUGAGGUCUGCAGCGUAGAUCCUUCGGGGUUAGAUACAUUUGUGCUAAGUUAUAGCCUUUCAUAGACAACUUGUUGACUAUGAUCAGUCAUGUAGCUUACUCGCUUAUGCUAUUUUACCUACGCUUAGGAUGUUGAUCUACAGAGCGAGAGU
rnacentral:rRNA from 1 species